GUCUUCACCCCGACGCAGACAAACGGGGACGCGUGUGUCAGUGUGUGUGUGUGUGUGUGUGUGUGUGUGUGAGAGAGAGAGAGAGAGAGACAGACAGACAGACAGACAGAUACGUGUCGUGGGCAAGGGUCUGACCUGAACGUGUCCGCGACCAACUCGAGUUAAGUCCCUGGGGGGUUGUUUGCGGAGACCCGGAGGAGGGCGUUGCCCAAGCCGACUGGGUGACCUGACCAGGUGGGGCCCAAGUGAGAAAAGGCCGAACCGCCUGCAGGGGCGGGGGUGGUCCGGGCCCAGACCGCCGCGUGCUCGCGCGCCCACACCUGCCGCCACCAGCCCCCACACACCUCGCCCUUCCCAACGCCCCUGGAGAUCCACCAGAGGCAGUUCCCGCGGUGCCGGGACUCGGGCACGCCUCCGUGGGGUCUCUUCCGGGGGACGCGGGCAGUGCGGCGCGGUUACCCGGCACCUGGGGGGCGGAGUCCGAGGUCCCCCGCCAGGGGGGCGGCGCGGGAUUGGGACGCGCGGGCGCGGGGCCCCGGGGCUCGGCGCGCGUCACAGUGGUGCGCGCUUCCGUCUGGCGCGGCCCCCGGGCGGCCCAGGCUGGGUCCUGAGCGUCCCGAGCGCGUUCCGGAAAGGUGACUCAGCGACGCGCUCCAGGGUCGAGAAACUCCGCAAAACUAAGAACGAGUGAAGGCUGCGGUCGAAGCCUGGAUUAGGCGCCUGGAAAACGCGGGACGCGGGGCGGUGCUCCCCGAGAGCUCAGCCUUGGAGGGAGGUAGCUGCGGAGAAGGCCAGGGCAGCCUCCCCUGUCCCCCGCUCGGGAGAGCAAUCAGGCCCGAAGAGCCGCCGCUUUAAACCUUGGAGUCUGGUGGGAAACUGAGGCACAGGGAAGGGAAGACCUGGCCGUGCAGGAGUGCGUGGUGAGAAAUCUCGCCUGCUCCAGGGUCCCUCUCUUUCUCCUAGCGCCCCAGGCUGGAGCCGCUGGAGGCGCAGGGCCCGGCGGGGGGCGGGAUUGACCAGAAAGCCUGGGGGCGAGGGGAGGGGGGGCAGCCUGCUGGCUUCUUUAUCCCGCCUCCGGGGCCCAGUGGGAGGGAGGUGAAAGGCAAAGCCCUCUGGCCCCGAUUCCAGUGCGCACAAUGGUUCCUCUGUGCUCCUUGCCGCCUCUUCCCCUGCCCCCCUCACCUCCACGGUCACUGCUCUGCCCCCCCCCAUUCUUGUCAUUGGCCUCCUGGUUCCCAGGCUCUGUCUCUCCAAGCACGCACUGACCUCCAGCCUCUCUCUCUAAAGAACCGUAUCUGUCUCCAGCAAGUCACGCAUCAGUAUGGGAGGCCCAAGAGAGGGAACUGGGCAAGAACAGGACGUUUGUGGCCCUUUGACAGUUGGGGGAACCGAAACCCUGGGGAGGUGAAGGGUCUUGCCCAAUCUGCCAACCAGUUCCCGGCAGACCCCGGAGGGCUGCCCGGCGGCCUGGGAGACUGAGCCCACCCCAGCUUCUCACUGAUGUUUGAGUAGCCCUUGACCCGAGUGAAAAAGCAAUAAUCAACGGUGCCUGGCACCAGCUCUCUGGAAACUUGGAGCCAAGGCCGCCAGAUGGCAAGUGACUGGCUUUUAUUAGGAUAGGAUUCCCGCCAUCCCACCGGUCCCCGAAGCAGUCUCCACCCCCCCCUCCCCGGAGGUUUGAGCUCCCAAGCCGAAUUCCAGAGCCUCCAGGCCUCUCUUGACCUUGACUCCUUUCUCCCCGGGAGGCUGUCAGAGCAGGGAAGGGAGGUGACCGGCCUGCCAACUGCUCUGCAGACUCGUGUUCUCCGACAGCCCCGGAGGUCACAAGUCUCAGAUGGAUCAGCGGAGCUGCACUGCCCCACCUGCUCAACCUUUGGAGACCACCUGGGUUGUUUGGCUCAGGACCCUUCCUUCGUUCCAAAGUCAGCAGCACGGGACUUCAGAUCUGUCUGACUUUUACUUCCACCGUUGUCUCUCUGACUGAUUUUCUUACCUCUCUCUUCCUCUUAGGAACCCUUGGUUGCACUGGCCCCACACAGAUAAUCCAGGGUAAUCUCACCCUUCUAGAGCUUUAAUGUAGGGCUCCUAAACCUCCUCAAAGUCGCCUUUGCCAUAUAAGGUCACCAAUUCACUGAUGCCAGGGAUUAUGACCUGGACAUUUGAGGGGCUGUUACUCUGCCAGCCACGGAUAGGGAAAUGAAGGCUAGAAACUGUGUCCUUUCUUGGCUACAGAACUUUAUUUCAUUUUAUUCAAGAUUUUAUUUAUUUGAGAUAGAGAGCAUACAAGUGGGGGCAGGGCAGAGGGAGAGGCAGAAGCAGUCUCCCCGCUGAGCAGGGCUUCCAUCUACCCAGGCACCUGGGCCACAGAACUUUCUGACCUUCCCCACCUCCCGAGCCCUACCAAGUGAACGCAAACCGGAGCUUGCUUUCCCCCAAAUUAGCACCUGUCAUGUGGAGGUGAAUAUAUUUUUGCUAGCAUCAACACGUGAUUCUGUCUACUUUGUGGGUAGAGGUCCCUACGGGGGAAAAAAAACAAACAAAAAAAACACUGGUUUCCAAUUUUGAAAAUUACCCAAGAGAGAGAAAUUGGCAUCUUGGCUAAACAUAGUAAUCCAGGAUUCCAAAACCCCAACUUUUCACCUGAGGAAGGGUUGGGAAGCAGACCAACCCAUCCUCUUUGGGCCUGGCAGAAUUCCCCACUCGGCUUUGCAGGAAGGGUUUGCCCCAGGGCCCGGGCCCCCUGGGUGCCCAAAGGAAGUGUGUGGCCCUCUCAGCUCGCAUCAUGUGAUCUGGCAGUCGGUCCUCCGUGGUGAAGCUGCCCCAGACCAGCCAGCCGCACAGAAAAUUGUGGCUAGGAACAUUCCACAGGCUGUCGCUGACAUCAGCUCCGGUCUGGGCCUAAAGCAGCCUCUGGCCUGAUGUCCAGUGCCCAACCCCACAUCCUGGAUACUUGCAAGGGGAGAGAAUGUCCCUUUCUGAGGCUGCAGCCAGCCCUCCACCCCACCCAGCUCUGCCCCCUUGCUCAUUUGUCCUGGUUUAGAGACCUGGGGCAUCCGAGGGAAGAGGAACCAUAUUGAACCACCUUAGGCAAGUCGCCCAAAGGAAAACUUAUGGGAGUCAGGAUGAGGGCCCUGGCACGUCGGCGUGGGGGGAGCAGGCACGCGGAGCAGCAGGCAGCUUCCAGGCCAAGGGGAUGGGUGUGUCCACAGUUUUCCGGGGGCUUUUUAUUGUGCAAUGUUUUCCACUUUCACAUCUCUCAACCAGCGAGAUGUGUCCUUGGGUUGUUCCCAAAGCAAACAGGCAGUGGGCUGGACACACUCCCAAGCUGGACAUCUCGUUUGCGCCGGGGGUCCGGGGCUGUUCCUCCUACCUGGGGGUGGACCGCGUCUGCCAGGGGAAGGUGAAGUGCCUUCUUACCCAGACCCUAGAGAAAGCACUCGCGGCCUCUGGGAACGGCCACUGGAGGCGCCCCACUGACCCCUGGUGGCCACCUGGGGGGAUGUGUCCCUGUCCUCUUUCAUCCAAACCCUGAAGCCGCUCAGGCUUCCUCCUCCCUAGAUGUAUGCCCUUUGUGGGGGGUGGGCGGGGUGGGGGAGUAGCUUAGGGGGCAAAAGAAGGGCACGGACGCCCUACUUCGUCCAGCUGCACGAAGACGCGGGUGCUGGAGGGGGCCUCGCUCACCCCUGCUGCUCAUUAUCCACAUCCUAAAAAUAGAAAUUCCCCUUUCCUGGAGGCUUGCCUGUUGAAGGUCAAACCCUUCGAUUUUUUACCAGACACAACCCUGGUUAUCUAAGCAACGGACAGCUGGGGCGGAGGAGGGGAGCUGGGGGCGAGGGGACAGGGACGCUGUAACCUAAUUGCGCACGUGUGCCCCUAAGUCUCCGGGCAUCAAGGGGUGUGAUUCGCGCAUCCGACAGGAGAGCCCAUAACCAAAGCAAGAGUUCCUGGUUGUCACUGCUCACCGCCCUGAGGUCCUGGCCACGGCCACAUGACCAGCAUCUUGAAAAUGAGUUAAGAUGUCAUUUCUCCUUCAGGGCAUCCUCAGAUAAUCCCAGCAACCUUCGCCAGAACUCACUUUCGAAAUGGAAUGGGGAACCAAGUGAUCACCUGUCAAAGCUCACAGACUAAUUAGUUAAGUGACAUUGUUUACUGGAAGUCAACCAAAAAAAUGCGCCGGGCGGGGCCGGGCGAGUGCCUCUGAGCUGCGGGGAGCUUUGGAAGACGCUGCAGAACACCUCUUUUCUUUUGUCUUCUUGUCUCCGUCCCCGAACUGCAGUCAUCACGGGUCUGUGCACGGAAGUCCUCAAGAAGGGCUUACGGGCUGACCUCUCCCAACCGCAGGCCCCUGGCGGAUGCAGCAGGAUGGCCCGGAGGAGGAGCCGCACCUGGGUGCCAGGUGGCUGCUGCGCUGAUGCUGAGAGCCAGGAAGGGCACGGCCCGACACUCCACCUCCUCCUGGCCGGGCCCGGCAGGCCGGCGGAUCCCAGGAGCCAGGGACAGAUGGUCCCGACGCGGAGUCAAAAUGGUGCAUCAGUCUUCCUAACUCAGAUGGCCUGGGAAAAUCCAGAGCAUCGGAACUUGGCAUUUGCAAAGAAGCACAAAGAUCCUAUCAUUUUUUUGGCUGAGUUCCAGGUGCCACGGACACGGAUCUGGGACUACUCGGUUCUCAGACUGAGGACACUGAGCACUUACGGAGGGAGAACUCGAUAGCUGCAGAGUGUGGGCAGCCGGGGUGGGUCGGCCUCCUCCCGCUCUUGGCAGGGACGAGUGAAAUUCACAAGGGGAGAGGCGCGUUGUGUCCUGGGGGUAGAUCGCUUCCUCCGAUGUGCAGCCUUCAGCGUUGCGGGAGCCAUACGGGCUCGGGCGAGACUGGGAGCAGGGAUCCACAGCAAACCCCAGGACACCGAGGGAGGGCCAUGUCCCUGCAGUCUGGGGCCUGAGUGAAGGGGCAGUGGUGGGGGGGAGGGGCUACUUUUAAUUCUAGACCAAGACCCGAGUGUUGCAGGCGCUCAAUAAAGACCAGCCUGUCAACCAUGAAAAAAAUGGACCUAACAGAGAUGGAAAAUAAAGCUAGGAUUACCCA